UUCGGUGACUAUAACAGAGAGGAUCCACCUGUUCCCAUUCCGAACACAGAAGUUAAGCUCUCUAGUGCCCACGAUACUUGGCUGGAAACGGCCUGGGAAAAUAGGUCGUUGCCGAAU
rnacentral:rRNA from 1 species